rnacentral:rRNA from 1 species
UGGGGAAUAUUGGACAAUGGGCGCAAGCCUGAUCCAGCCAUACCGCGUGGGUGAAGAAGGCCUUCGGGUUGUAAAGUCCUUUUGUUGGGAAAGAAAUCCAGCUGGCUAAUACCCGGUUGGGAUGACGGUACCCAAAGAAUAAGCACCGGCUAACUUCGUGCCAGCAGCCGCGGUAAUACGAAGGGUGCAAGCGUUACUCGGAAUUACUGGGCGUAAAGCGUGCGUAGGUGGUCGUUUAAGUCCGUUGUGAAAGCCCUGGGCUCAACCUGGGAACUGCAGUGGAUACUGGGCGACUAGAGUGUGGUAGAGGGUAGCGGAAUUCCUGGUGUAGCAGUGAAAUGCGUAGAGAUCAGGAGGAACAUCCAUGGCGAAGGCAACUACCUGGACCAACACUGACACUGAGGCACGAAAGCGUGGGGAGCAAACAGGAUUAGAUACCCUGGUAGUCCACGCCCUAAACGAUGCGAACUGGAUGUUGGGUGCAAUUUGGCACGCAGUAUCGAAGCUAACGCGUUAAGUUCGCCGCCUGGGGAGUACGGUCGCAAGACUG